rnacentral:lncRNA from 1 species
UGCUGGAUAUUAGUUUGCGGGUUUAUUGCACAGGUGCACAUGAGUCAGGGGAACACGAGAUCGGCCAAGCCAGAGGCCCUGCAAUGUCACCACCCAGGUGUGAAGGAGCCAGGUGGAACCCAGGAGGAGCAGACGCCCUUGGCCAACACCCAGAGCUGGACCUCAGAAUCGCGCAGGGAGGGCAGGGAAGGGAGCCCCUGCCUCCUAUCCCCGAGCUCUGACCUGGGAAGUCCUGCAGGAAGCCCAUGCCGGGACACCCAGGCUAGCCCCCCCCAGGCAGAGAACAGAGCACAGGACGAGAGGGGGCCUGGGCCCGGCAGGCAGGGGCAAGGCAUGCUCUUUCCUCCAACAGGGAGGUUUCUAGGGAGUCAGCUGCCCCCAUUUCCAGCAGCAACCCCUAGCGUGGCUGGCGGGGUACUGGGUGUUCAGCCAAUCACAGGUAGGGAGCUCCUGGGAUGGGGGGGAACCAUCACGCCUCAACACGACCAGCACGAAACAGACGCAGCCUACACAGUGCUGUGGGAAUCAAGGCUCACAAACAUCCGCAGGACACACGCAGGGCCGGCCACUCCGGCAAACAAAGUCACCCCGAACCUCGCGGGGGCCGCACUCCCUCGGCAGGGGGACCACGGAGGCGACAGGUGCUGACACCUCCGAAGAGCUGAGCUCCAUUCCAGGGAGGGGCCAGGCCACGCUGCAGUCCUCCCGUUGGUCCGGUUCUGCAAUCACUAGAUGAAGCUCCGGCUAAAGUUCUGAAUCAGGAAUGAUGCAGCCAUGAAGUUACAGGCAUCCAGAAGGUCACCACACACCUCACCCCCUUCAGGGGCCUGCGUGGAGCCAGCCGAGGACUCAGGUCCAUUCCCCAGAAUGUCAGCACCUCCGCCUCCCGUCACCAAGAAGGGGCUUCAGAUGCCUCAUGGGGACCUACGAUGGCUUGAGCUUGACACAGGUCCUCCUAGCUGCUUGACAUGCUUUGGGACGCACUGGAAGGGUCUGUCAGGCCUGCUGAGGCCUCUUUUUGUCCCACCAGCCCUGCACCCACCUUCCUCCUGCUAGGGGCUGGGUCUUGGGUUAGAGAGUCACUUGAGGGCAGCCGGGCGCGGUGGCUCACGCCUGUAAUCCCAGCACUUUGCGAAGCCGAGAUGGGCGGAUCACGAGGUCAGGAGAUCCAGACCAUCCUGGCUAACACGGUGAAACCCCAUCUCUAUUAAAAAUACAAAAAAUUAGCCAGGUGUGGUGACGGGCGCCUGUAGUCCCAGCUACUCGGGAGGCUGAGGCAGGAGAAUGGUGUGAACCCGGGAGGCAGAGCUUGCAGGGAGCCAAGAUUGCGCCACUGCACUCCAGCCUGGGCGACAGAGCGAGACUCCAUCUCAAAAAAGAAAAAAAAAAGAAAGUCACUUGAGGGCUUCAGAAGCCGCUGACCCAGCUUGCAGCUCAAAAUGAGGACAAAGGUGCUUUCAUCCACCUUCACGGAGACGCUGGCUUCGCAGGCCGGUGGGCGAGGCGAGGCCCAUGUUUUACUUAGGACAGGUUUCCCAGGCAGUACCCAGGCCGUGUGGGGGCUCCCCAAACACAGGCUUAGGAUGGCAUUCUCCCCUCUCCGUUCCCACCCACCUAUCUGCCAGACACUGGGCUCGCCCUUGCUGUCCAUCCCAGCACUGAUGGACAGGACAGAGAUGCGUGGGGUCAGUGGCCCUGUGGCACUGGAAGGCACAUGCCACCAGAAAUGGGCUUCCUGUUGCAUAAAGACCAGAAAUGGCCUUGUAGUGAACUGGUGGAUGGGAAGAAAGGAGAGGCUGGCAUUUGCGGGUGCUGUUCCCACCACAGCCCUGAAGCUGGGGGCCCCCAACAAGGCUUGUCCCAGGCAGGGGGUCAGGGAUGGAUGGGACAUCUCUUGCUCGGGGACAGGGUCCUGCUUGGCUCAGACGGUGGGAAAACUUAAAAACACCUGUUUAUUCUGCCAGAAUUGAAAGAAAAAUUCCAGGAAGAACUUUUUAUUAAUAUAAAGUUUUAAGAUAUUGACCAGUCAGAUCUAAAUUACUAAUUAAACUCUGUUUUAAACAAAUGAACACACUGUGUUACAAUGAAAGGCAGGAAAGUGGUUUUAGACGCAGAUCGAAAACCAGUGUCUUCACGCACUGAGAACAGGAAACAUUCUGCUCUGAGAACGAAGUGCAGAGUCGACAGGAGACACACAUGCGACAGAAAGCCCCCAGCGGGAGUGACCGUGCACCCUGGCGGGUCGUGGGAUGCCCGGGCAGUGGUUUGGACACAGCUGCCACGCUACGAUGCCUGCUGGGCCCUGCAGGAACAGGGGACACACACAGAGCCCAGCCACGCAUUGCUGAGCAUGGCACAGGCCACACACACCGGCUCCUCCCACCU